rnacentral:rRNA from 1 species
GACGAACGCUGGCGGCGUGCUUAACACAUGCAAGUCGAACGGAAAGGCCCUGCUUGUGCGUGGUGCUCGAGUGGCGAACGGGUGAGUAACACGUGAGUAACCUGGCUUUGACUGGGGGAUAACUGCAGGAAAGCGGGGCUAAUACCUGAUAGGAGCGCCUGCUGCAUGGUGGGGGUUGGAAAGCUCAGGCGGUUGGGGAUGGACUGGCGGUUUAUCAGCUUGUUGGUGGGGUAGUGGCUUACCAAGGCUUUGGCGGGUAGCCGGCCUGAGAGGGUGACCGGCCACAUUGGGACUGAGAUACGGCCCAGACUCCUACGGGAGGCAGCAGUGGGGAAUAUUGCACAAUGGGCGGAAGCCUGAGGCAGCAACGCCGCGUGCGGGAUGACGGCCUUCGGGUUGUAAACCGCUUUCGCCUGUGACGAAGCGUGAGUGACGGUAAUGGGUAAAGAAGCACCGGCUAACUACGUG